rnacentral:rRNA from 1 species
CAGUCGCCACGGUAAUACAUAGGGUGCGAGCGUUGUCCGGAAUUAUUGGGCGUAAAGAGCUUGUAGGCGGUCUGUCGCGUCUGCUGUGAAAACCCGAGGCUCAACCUCGGGCCUGCAGUGGGUACGGGCAGACUAGAGUGCGGUAGGGGAGAGCGGAACUCCUGGUGUAGCGGUGGAAUGCGCAGAUAUCAGGAAGAACACCGAUGGCGAAGGCAGUUCUCUGGGCCGUAACUGACGCUGAGAAGCGAAAGCGUGGGGAGCGAACAGGAUUAGAUACCCCUGUAGUCCCUGUCUCUUAUAC